CCCCACCUUCAUUAAUCCAAGAUAUGAAUCUGCGAUAUAUAAAUCACCAGUUCUCUUAUUAAAUCGGAGUCCCAAAGGCCUGCCGCAAAUGUGCUCAUUCUUCAGGUAACUCAGAGGCGAGGGCUUUGGAUCACAUAGUUCUGACCUGAAUAAUCAUAGAUGAGCCAAAAAAUAAAAAAAUAAAAACGUUUAGAAAGAAAAAAAAAAAAAAAAACAUAUUCCAAACACAAGUUCACCCAGUACACCUGGGGGAAGCCUUCUUUUAACAGAAAAGCAAAAGAGAAAAUGACCCACAAUUAGUUUUAGAUGAAAUUUCAUUAUCAAAUAAUAGGUUGCAUAUUGUUUGAAAGAUGCAUUCUCAAAAUGGCACUUCAGAAAAUGAAAAUAGCAAAAUCUGUGAGAAUAUGUAAUGCUCUAUUGCUCUAUUUUCUUUUUCAGCUCUCUGAGAAAAUUUCUAACAGAAACGUGGAAAACAACUUAUCAGAUAUUUAGAACAAAAUAAGCUUCGAUAACUUUUUGCUGUGAAAUAUGUCUUCUGCCUCACAAUUGUUUUUUUUUUCUUGGAAGCAGAAAAAUUCCAUAUCCGAAAUCAAGUACAACCUCAUAUCCACUUCCAAGGUGUCUCAGAAACAACACAAGAUAACAGAUCUAUCUAACUAAUAAUAUACUCCAAGGGAUUCUUGAAGCAUAUUUAUAAUUAGAAAAUUCAUCUGAUGGUUCAGUGAAGAUCUCUUUUACUGAUAACCUCACAUGAGAUUUUUUAAAGAACCCAUGUAGCCAAUAACCAAAUAUCCUUUAGCAUUUUUGACUGCAGCACAUGGGUGUGCCUAAGAUUCUGUGACCAAUAUCCAAUGUGAACUAUCAACAUUAUACAAGAGCAUCAUUAAAUGUUACAUAUUGCAAUACCAGCAUAUAAGGGAUCUUGGCAUCCAGGUCCCUUUCUAUUAAAUUACAACUAUAAAAUUUAUCAUGACAUGGUGAUUUCAGUGAUUCAAUUUCAAACUAAUUCACAGGAUGAUGUAAGAGUUUGAGAAUGAUUCAUACAAAAGUAGGGAUAUAUAUAUUCUAAACAAUCCAAUAAAAAAAAUAUAUAUUCUAAACAAGACUCAUGGGUGGGUGCCUAUCAUUUUAUUUCAGUUUGAUACAUUUAGAUGUGAGUGGUCCCUAAGACCUACUGGACAAAGAGAGCCAGAACCAUGUCUAACAGGAUAAGAGGAAAGCUCUUGCCAUUGAGGAAGAGGUUUGUGCAAAAUGCAAUUAAUUUACAUGGUGGGGAUGAAUUGAGCUUAGUAUUUUAUCCCCAUCAAAUGUCAAUUAAUCGUACGAGGUUACCAUAUAGAAGGGUGGCCACUACUGACAGAAAACUUUAAGCUAGAUUCAGCCCCUUCUAGCUUUAUGUGAUAGUAUAGAUAUAUAUAGAAAAUCAUUUAUAAAUGAGGAAAAUCAGCAUUCCUACAAAACCACCUUGAAGCCACCAGCCAAACUAAACUUGGCAAUGCUUAUUAAGAAUUAUCAGAUUUUUCUUUUCUUUUUUAAUUUUUAAAUAUCCUCAUUGUAGGAACUUGUUCAAUCUAUUAAUUGGUGAUUUGAGGAAAAAAGAAACUUGUGAAAAGACCUAAAUUUUAUGGUUUCAUAAAGAAUUAUCUAAUUGAUUGCUCUGGCAACUAUUCAAUUUCACCUUGAAUGUUGUAACUAUUUCGUUCUUGCAAAGUCAACUUGACAUAUCAAGUACUCAGUAAAAUAAUUUUACUUAUAUUCCUUUCAUCUGAGUUGAUUUCUAUGGUGAAAACUACAAAACUAGCAUUAAAGUAAGGGAAAUUAUCUAAUAGCCAGGUUCAGUGAUAUUUUGUUCAAACUAAUGAAAUUUAAAAUGAUGGUUUAUCUUCGAUAAUAAAACCCACUCAGUACAUUCUAUUUUACAAAGGAUGAAUCAUCUUGGAAAACCCCAAUUAAUGAAAAAAGAACUUAUUCAAACCACAUGGAUCCUAUAAAAACACAUGGCUUCAAGGUGUUGUGUGAACAUAUAACAGUGAAGACAGUAAGGAUGACAAUAUCAAAUGAUGAGUCUGGAAUCAAAAUCAGGAUAAUUUUACACUUCUGUCAUCACAUUAAAAAUCAUUCUUAGUCUUAGAUCUUAGCAGCACUAGGAUAAUUGACCACAGACUAGGUGCAUCAUUGGUAUAAAUAAAUUCAUGGGCUUCCCUAAUAUGUAUGUGUUCGUGCAUUGAAGGAACGGUCCUCUGUUGACACAUGACACCAAUCCAGGUAUCAACAAAAGCAGCAGGCUAACUCUCUAUCCAACAAAAAUAAAAGCAAGUAAUAUAAAUCACUAAGUGAAAGGCAUAUUUAUUCUUCAUAAGGCUAAGUGGAUGUUUGGUAAAACUUAACUCUUAUUACUUAAUGACUUAAGUUGACUUUAAGUUAAAUUGUUUUUAAGUUGUUAACUUAAAACUUAUUACUUAUUUUUUACUUUAAGUAUUAAGGUUGUUUAGUAAAAUUAAUUGAAAUUUUAUUUCUAGUUAUUAAAUUGAUAUCUUUACCCUUAUUAGUUACAAUUUAUGUUUAUUACUAAAAAAUUUAACUAAUAUUUAUUUUCAAUAAUCUUAAGCAAUAAAUUUGUUUAUUAAAUAUUUAUACUUAAAAGUAUAGUAGAUUUAUAAGACAACCUUAAAAUAUUUAUUAUAAAAUAUGAAGUCAUAGUUGUUGAAUAUAUUCUCAACAAAUAAGAGAAAAAAAAAUUAAGAAUAAGUUAACUAUUUUGACUUGAUACUUAAAGUCAUUUUUAACUUUAAGUUGUAAGAUAACAGUUAAUAUUUUUAGGGAGCGAUGGGAGAGAGAGAGAGAGAGGGCGAGAGAGAGAGAGGGGGCGUGAGGGAGAGUGAAAGCGCGUGCGACGGCGACGACGAUGAGAUCGGCGAGGCGAGUCGAAGGCGAAGCUUCACGGUGGAAUCCAAGACCUUCGAGCUUGCACUGGAUGGGAGGAAAGGUAGAUGUCAGAUCCUCAUCGUGGAAAAGAAGCGGGGGGUCUCGACAUGGAUUCGUUUAGGGUUGGAAAGCUUAGGGCUCUUCAAGAAGGGGCUAAUCCAUUGUAUACGAGAUGAAAAAGAAGGGAGAUGGGAAAUGGAGUGGAGAGAUAGAGGUAAGCGAUUCACUCUGGCGCGGGGAUCCAAUAGAGCGGGUGGCUUUUUAAGGCUGGGGGUUGUGGAUCCGGAACGGAAAACCUUCUGCAUCUUCUUACCGAGAGGUAGGAGGGAUAAAAGAGGAUGGAUGGCUAUGGCGGAAAUGAUUCACCAAAUGGAAGAGCUGGUGGGCCGAACAAUGGAGCUGCAGGAAGUGAGGGCCGGCGGUAAAGCUACUACGACAAAAUCAUAUGCAGAGGUAGUUUUGGGUUCAAACCGUAAAGACACAAAUGUAAUCAAGUUGAAGGUCUCGAGGGAAGAGAUGGCAGGAAAUUUACAGAAGUUGCAACACUGUCUCGUCGCGAGUUGGAAGCCCAUCAAAAAGGAAGAUGAAGAUUUGGAGAGGCUGGGAAAUCUUUGGGCGAGUUCCUGGGGUUUAAAAGGCAAACUAGGGCUGGCUAAAUUGGAACGAGGCAGGGCUCUGUUGGAGUUUGAGGACAAAAGAGAGGCUCACCGUGUGGUUUCAUCGAGGAGUAGAGAGAUGGGAGGAGUACACUUAGGGUUGGACUUCUGGAAGCCAAAGAUGGGUUGUUGGGCAGAGGAGGAGAUGGCACAGGAAGCUUGGGUCAAAAUUUUCGGUCUGCCAGUCUCGUUAUGGAGCCCGGCGAUUCUGAAGAAAAUAGGAGAGGAAUGUGGGGGGUUUGUUGAAAUUGAUGAGAGGACAAGGUCGAUGGAGGAGAUUCAAUGGGCUAGAAUACGGGUCAAAAUAACAGGCGAAUUUAGACCGAGCAUGCUAGAAAUUGAGGUAGAGGAGGAGGUUUACUCUUUGGCGUUGUGGUGGGAGAUUAGGCCGGUGGUGAGACGGUUUCUCUCUGCGGUGGAGAUCAGAAGGAGAACCGAGGACAGGGGUGACGUUCUCACGCAUGGAGAAGCGCGUGGGGAAGGAUCUGAUAAACACGGGAACCGAGGGUCUGCUCUUGCCAGAUGAUGGGAUGUUGUUGCAGGAAAAUGGGCCGGGCUUAGAGUCCGGGUACCAGAUCCAUGGCCCGAGGCCCCGGGAAUGGGCCUGUUUGGAUGGGAAAUUGACUGGGUCGUCCUCACAUGGUCUAACUUUGGGCCUUAAAGAGCAGGAGAAGGAUGGUGGGUUGGCUAAGAGAGACGGGUCUUUGGGCCGAAAAUUAAAGGAUAAAUUAAAGGUGGCUGGUGUGCCAGCGGCAGGCCCAUCGUCUAGUAAUUGGGCUGCUGGACUGGGCUGCCACUCUUCUGUUCUGAUGGAAGGACUGGAAAGGGAGGGCCCUAAUGCUAACCAGGAGAAGGCUGGUUUAUUGGGCUGCUUAUUUUCCAGAAAAAGAUCCACUCCAGAGGAUGCUUUGACGUGCUGGGUGCCAGAGGAGAUCAGAAGGGAACAGAGGGUUGAUGGCUUCUCCAUGACUGACCAUGCGCUUGAAGAAGAAGCUAAGAGGUAUGCCCUGCAUUUCCAUCCUAAAGGAAAUCAGGUUAUGGGGACGUCUCUUCUUCUUUCUUCUAAUUUUGAUCGGGCUCCGGAGGGAGAGUCUUUCGAUCGUCCAGGGGAAUUAGAGGAGUAAUUAUGGGGGGACAAGUCAACUUGGCUAACAGUCUAUGAGGGGAAUGACGAGAACGUGAAUGGAUCUUGGAAGUUGGGAGAGGCCAACAAAAACAGAGACAAGGCUAGGGGCAAGGAGGGGAGUGAUGGUGCCUCAGGAAUUCAAGUCACUGAAAAUGAGAAAGAAGAAUUAUGGGAGGAGUGUAGCCUGGCGAAAUUUAGCCAAUUUUUAGGCUUCUCUACAGAGGGGAUAGAAAAGGAGAUAUUGAAUUUCCUGACUAAAAUCAGGAAGAGGAGGGAAAAGAUUCACAGCAAAGAACUCUUGGAGAAGACCAAGUUUGAAAGGGAACUAAAGAGGCUGGAAUGCUCUGUCAACUACGAGGGGGGGAAUAAGCAGAAAGCUCCCUCACAGGGCAAAGGGAACCAAUUGAUAGUUGUCCAAUGAAGCUGAAGAUUAUAAGUUGGAAUGUGAGGGGAGCUAAUGAUAGCUCUAAGAGGAAAAUUAUUAAGAACUAUAUAAGGAGCCAAAGGGUGGAUCUAAUGUGUAUUCAGGAAACCAAGAUUCAGGAGAUGUCAGAGGGUAUAGUGAGAAGUCUGGGCACUGGGAGAUUUAUAGACUGGAGAGCUCUAAAUGCGGAGGGGGCUGCGGGUGGCAUUCUGAUAUGCUGGGACAAGAGGGUCUUGGAUAUCUUGGACUGGGAGGAGGGUCAUUUCACUUUGUCUUGUAGAUUCAGGACUAUAGAAAAUGGGGCUACUUGGGUUUUCACGGGAGUGUAUGGUCCUUUCACUAAAAUGGAAAGGGAGGGUAUGUGGGAGGAAUUGGGGGCGAUAAGAGGUCUUUGGGACUAUCCCUGGUGUCUUGGUGGGGAUUUCAAUAACAUUCUGUUCCAACAAGAAAGGAGUAGCCAAAGAAGAAUCACCUCAGCUAUGAGGAGAUUUGCAGAGACUGUGGAUGAUUUAGAGCUGGUGGACAUGCCUCUUCAGGGGGGAGAGUUCACCUGGAAUGGGGGGAUCAACAAUCAGGUAUGGGCGAGACUAGACAGAUUUUUAGUUUCCCCUACCUGGCUAGAUCUAUUUUAUGGAGCCACUUAGAUCAGGCUGUCCCGGCCAAUUUCAGAUCAUUUCCCAAUCAUGUUAGAGGGGGGUGGUAUUAGAAGAGGUCCAACCCCGUUUAGAUUCGAAAACAUGUGGCUGAAGGUUGAGGGGUUUCAAGAUGUUGUGAGAACAUGGUGGCAGGGGAUUGAUGUCAGGGGCAGCGCUAGCUACAGAUUGGCUAUUAAAAUGAAGGAAAUCAAGAAGAAUUUGAAAGUUUGGAACAAAGAGGUUUUUGGGAGGUUGGAAACCAAUAAAGCCUCAGCCCUAGAACAAGUAGACUUUUGGGAUCGGGUGGCAAGUGAGAGAAAUUUGACUGUGGAGGAAGCUGAGUUAAAAAAGGAAGCCAAAGACUCCUUUAAGAAAUGGGUCCUGUUGGAGGAAGCUCAUUGGAGACAGUAUUCAAGGGAGAUUUGGCUAAGGGAGGGGGAUAGAAAUACGGGGUUCUUUCAUAGAAUGGCGAGUGCUCAUCGGAGAAACAAUGCUAUGGGCAGAAUUAAGGUUAAUGGGGAGUGGCUGGUAGAGGAGCAGGAGGUGAAAGAAGGCAUUGUGAAUUCAUUUCAGCAGUUGCUUACUGAAGAUAUGGAGUGGCAGGCAGAUAUUGGUAAUAUUCCGGUGGGUUGUAUCAGCCAGCAAAAUGCAGAGAGUCUAGAAGUCCCAUUUGCAGAAAUUGAGAUUCACUCGGCGCUGAUGGAGAUGAAUGGGGACAAAGCCCCUGGCCCGGAUGGUUUUACUGUAGCAUUCUGGCAAAACGCAUGGGACUUUACCAAAGAGGAGAUCAUGGAGAUGUUUAAAGAAUUUCACGAGCAUAAUACCUUUGUUAGGAGCCUCAACAAUACUUUUCUGGUGUUGAUACCUAAGAAAAGUGGGGCGGAGGAUCUGGGAGACUUUAGACCUAUCAGCUUGUUGGGGNNNNNNNNNNNNNNNNNNNNNNNNNNNNNNNNNNNNNNNNNNNNNNNNNNNNNNNNNNNNNNNNNNNNNNNNNNNNNNNNNNNNNNNNNNNNNNNNNNNNCCCUUUGGUUAGUAGCCUCGACGCAAUACUUUUUCUGGGGGUGAUACCUUAAGAAAAAGUGGGACGGAGGAUUCUGGGGAGACUUUAGGCCUUUUCGGCUGGUUGGGGGGCCUCUAUGAACUUUUGGCUAAAGUCUUAGCUAAUAGGCUCAAAAAAAGUGAUUGGUAAGGUGGUCUCUAGUGCUCAAAAAUGCCUUUGUAAUGGGGAGACAAAUUCUGGAUGCGUCCUUAAUUGCUAAUGAGGUGAUAGACUCGUGGCAGAAGAGAAAAGAAAAGGGCCUUAUCUGCAAAUUGGAUAUAGAAAAAGCUUAUGACAGCAUUAAUUGGAAUUUCUUAAUGAAGGUCCUUCAUAAAAUGGGCUUUGGGAACAAGUGGGUGGGAUGGAUGUGGAGCUGUGUGUCUUCUGCAAAAUUCUCUAUUCUUGUUAAUGGAGUGCCAGCUGGGUUUUUCCCUAGCACUAGAGGGCUUCGUCAAGGGGAUCCUCUAUCCCCUUACCUCUUUGUUAUGGGAAUGGAGAUUCUAGACGUUCUCAUCAGGAGAGCGGUGGAGGGGGGAUAUCUUUCAGGAUGCAACAUUCGGGGUGGUAGUAGAACUUCAUUGCAUAUCUCCCACCUAUUUUUUGCUGAUGACACAAUUGUGUUUUGUGAGGCAAGCAAAGAUCAAGUCUCUCAUCUAAGCUGGAUUCUUUUUUGGUUUGAAGCGGUUUCAGGUCUUCGUAUGAACCUAGCCAAAAGCGAAAUCAUUCCAGUUGGAGAAGUGGAGGAGAUUCUUGAGUUGGCAGCUGAGUUAGGGUGCAGGGUGGGGUCUCUGCCUUCCCAAUAUUUGGGUCUCCCUUUAGGGGUCCCCAAUAGGGCGUCUUCUAUGUGGGAUGGAGUGGAAGAGAGGGUCAGGAGGAGACUUGCGCUUUGGAAAAGACAGUACAUUUCCAAAGGGGGGCGGAUCACUCUUAUAAAAAGCACCUUGGCCAGUAUGCCAAUUUACCAAAUGUCUAUUUUCCGUAUGCCUAAGUCCGUUGCUAAAAGAGUGGAGAAAAUCCAAAGAGACUUCCUAUGGGGGGGUGGAAACUUGGAAGGAAAGAUUCAUCUAGUAAAAUGGGAUGUGGUCUGCACAGAAAAACGCAAUGGAGGGCUAGGAUUAAGGAGAAUAGCCACUCUGAAUAGAGCUUUGUUGGGCAAGUGGACUUGGAGGUUUGCGUGUGAAAGGGAUAACCUUUGGAAACAAGUGAUUUCUACGAAAUAUGGGCAAGAGGAACAUGGGUGGAGGGCUAAGAAGGUUAGUGGGGCGGCUGGAGUUGGGGUCUAGAAGGAGAUUAUGAAAGAAUCUGAAUGGUGCUGGGAAAAUUUGGCUUUUCUAGUUGGGAAGGGUUCCAAAAUUAAAUUUUGGAAAGAUAGCUGGUGCACUGAUACUCCGUUGUCCCAAUGCUUCAACCAUCUUUUUGUCCUUGCCGUGCAUAGAGAUGCUUCGAUUGAGGAGAUGUGGGACCAUCAUUCAGGCCAAGGAGAUUGGAAUCUUGUUUUUGUGAGGGAUUUCAAUGAUUGGGAACUGGAUAUGGUUGGUGAUUUGCUCCAUACUCUGAGGGGUCAUAGGCCUUCCUUGGAGGAUGACUCAGUUAAAUGGAGGCAAGGAAGAAAUGGUCUCUUCAGGGUUAAAGAAGCUUAUAGGAUGUUGGAUAAACCUAAUGCCACAAUGUUUCCCGCAAGGAGAAUAUGGGUGGAUAGGGUACCAACUAAAGUCUGCUUUUUUGCUUGGGAGGCUACAUGUGGGAAGGUGCUCACUCUGGAUAGGCUUCAGAUAAGAGGGGUGCAACUCCCAAAUUGUUGCUUUUUGUGUGGUUGUGAAGAAGAGAAUGUAAAUCAUAUUCUUUUACACUGUAUAGUGACUAGAGCUCUUUGGGAUAUUAUUUUUGGGUUGUUAGAUAUUAAGUGGGUCCUCCCAGAAACGGUUAAGGAGGCUUUAACCUCCUGGAGGGGUUCUUUUGUUGGGAAGAAAAGGAAACAGAUAUGGAAAUCCAUUCCGCUGUGUAUUUUUUGGACGGUCUGGAAGGAGAGGAAUAGGUUAGCCUUUAGGGGGGGUGUGGUGAAUGUUCAGAUGUUAAAGAAUUCUUUUGUUUGUAACUUAUGGAAUUGGGCCAAAGUGUAUUUAGGUGAGGAGGCUUUCUCCCUUAUAGGUUUCUUGGAGUGGAUAGCUUCCACUUGAGGGGAGGUAGCUCUUUUUGGUCCUUUUUCUUUUUUUUUGAGGCUGUAGCCAUCUUGUAUACUCCCUGUAUGCUCUGUGGCGUUUAGCCUUUUUUAAUGCAUAUCUUGUUUACUUAUCAAAAAAAAAAAAAAACUUUAAGUUGUAAGAUUAAGUUAUUUUACCAAACAUGCUUAAUUUACUUAAUAAUUUAAAUUAAACUAUCAAGUCAUUAGUAAAUCAACUUAAUGACUUAUCAGGAAGCCUAGGAUACAACAUAAGUAUUCAUCAAAUUUAUACAAUCUCCUCUAUAAUAUACUCAGCAAUCAAACUUAGGCAUCCAACUGCUCACUUUGAGCACACUAGCUGUAGUCUUUCACUCUUUUUGCAGGUCCCACAGACAGCCUGCUGCUUAGAUUGAAAAUCUACUACCUCAUUGAAGAGCUCCAAAUAGUUUGGGCUCCAACAUGUAAGUAUAUGCAUGCUAUAACAGAAAGCAAUGAGGUAGAUAAUGACUUAAAUCAGUUACCUCCAAAUACAUAUGUAUUUACCGAAAUUGCCUAUAAACUUUCUCCUUUUCAAAUUUGCAAGAUUCCAUAUUCAUUCUCUUUUCUUUUUUCCUGUUUAGUUAUUUUUUUGACUAGAUGUUAUAGAUGUAAAUCAGAAGAAAGUGGACAUAUUGACGAGUCAUCUGAUUGAUUUGUAAAGAGGCGGAUCAAAUAUGCCAUGAUGGUGGGCCUAAAAUUGGACAAUAUCUAUGAUUUCUAUCAUGUGGCCGGAAAUGUGCUGAGAAAGAUGUUCCACCAGCUCUGACAGAGGAAAUCCUAUCCGUUAAGCUGAUGACAUUUAUACGACACCACUCCGUGCAAACGUGUUUAAAGCAGUGAGUAUAGAAUUCUGUUUUAAAUCAAUCUUGUGGUAUAGAGUCAGAGAAUAUAUUACGAUAUGGAUAAACCGGGGCAAGGGCUCAAAAGUUGACCUGUUGGGAGAGGUAUAGGCGAAAUCGGACCAAGCCUCGCCGUUCCAGAAGAGAAUCCGGCCGUCCGCCACGCCGGUGUAGGGUCCACGGCCGAGAGGAUCGAAGGCUACGCUCUCCGGCCCCUGAACCUGGUUCAGGAACUUGAUCUCCGCCUUCUGCAGCAAGUUCCGAUCAUCUUUUGCUGCCGGAACCUCCGACCAGGGAGGCAUCUCCACCAAGUGAGCUUCGAAUUCAGGGAAAUUGGCGAUAGAACUGUGUUUGAGAGGGUCGAUGCCGCAGUACAGAGCCAGGAGGAGGAAGAGGGCGGCGAGAAGUCCGCCCGGCGUCAUGGCCGGAAAUAGAGGGGUUUGUUUUGUCCUUGUUGUGAGAAGUGCUAGAUGUGUU
rnacentral:lncRNA from 1 species